rnacentral:rRNA from 1 species
UACGACUACAUAUCAGGCAUAUCAAUAAGCGGAGGAAAAGAAACUAACUAGGAUUCCCUCAGUAACGGCGAGUGAAGCGGGAAGAGCUCAAAUUUGAAAUCUUCAAGGUUCUACCUUGACGAAUUGUAGUUUAAAGAAGUGUUUUCUGUUGGAGUUUUGGUAAAAGUUCUUUGGAAUAGGACAUCAUAGAGGGUGAGAAUCCCGUAUUUGACCAUUAUUUCCAGCUUUGUGAUACACUUUCAAAGAGUCGGAUUGUUUGGGAAUGCAGUCCAAAAUGGGUGGUAAAUUUCAUCUAAAGCUAGAUAUUGGCGAGAGACCGAUAGCGAACAAGUACCGUGAGGGAAAGAUGAAAAGAACCUUUGAAAAGAGAGUUAAACAGUACGUGAAAUUGUCAAAAGGGAAGCGUUUGACACCAGUGUUGUUUUCUCGAAAAUCAAUUAAAAAAGGCAGGAUUUUGUGUUGUAUUGACUUUAUCAGCUUUCUGCACUCUUUUCUUGUCUUUUUUAAUGCACUUUUCGUUUAACAAGUCAACAUCAAUUUCUUUUGUUGUAAAAGGGUCAUUGGAAGGUGGCUUUCUUUUCGGAGAAAGUGUUUAUAGCCUUUGGCCUCUGCAAUCGGAGAGAUUGAGGUCUGCAGCGUAGAUCCUUCGGGGUUAGAUACAUUUGUGCUAAGUUAUAGCCUUUCAUAGACAACUUGUUGACUAUGAUCAGUCAUGUAGCUUACUCGCUUAUGCUAUUUUACCUACGCUUAGGAUGUUGAGCGCAUGUCUCUCUCU